rnacentral:rRNA from 1 species
AUUGAACGCUGGCGGCAUGCUUUACACAUGCAAGUCGAACGGCAGCGCGGGCUUCGGCCUGGCGGCGAGUGGCGAACGGGUGAGUAAUACAUCGGAACGUGCCCAGUAGUGGGGGAUAGCUCGGCGAAAGCCGGAUUAAUACCGCAUACGACCUGAGGGUGAAAGCGGGGGAUCUUCGGACCUCGCGCUAUUGGAGCGGCCGAUGGCAGAUUAGCUAGUUGGUGGGGUAAAGGCCUACCAAGGCGACGAUCUGUAGCUGGUCUGAGAGGACGACCAGCCACACUGGGACUGAGACACGGCCCAGACUCCUACGGGAGGCAGCAGUGGGGAAUUUUGGACAAUGGGCGAAAGCCUGAUCCAGCAAUGCCGCGUGUGAGAUGAAGGCCUUCGGGUUGUAAAGCACUUUUGGCGGGAACGAAAAGGACUGUGCCAAUACCACGGUUCGAUGACGGUACCCGCAGAAUAAGCACCGGCUAACUACGUG